UACAGAGGGUGCGAGCGUUGUCCGGAAUUAUUGGGCGUAAAGCGCGCGCAGGUGGUUUCUUAAGUCUGAUGUGAAAGCCCACGGCUCAACCGUGGAGGGUCAUUGGAAACUGGGGAACUUGAGUGCAGGAGAGAAGAGUGGAAUUCCACGUGUAGCGGUGAAAUGCGUAGAGAUGUGGAGGAACACCAGUGGCGAAGGCGACUCUUUGGCCUGUAACUGACACUGAGGCGCGAAAGCGUGGGGAGCAAACAGG
rnacentral:rRNA from 1 species